rnacentral:lncRNA from 1 species
AGAUGCCAGUUAACUGUCGAGAGGGGACGCUCCCUCCUCGUAGGCGUCCACACUGGAGAAGGAAUAAGAUGGGCGAUUGCCUGGGAAGCCUGACAGGGCGGCGGCAGCUGGGAUGCUGGAGAGGACUGGCCCCUUGAGUUACUGAGUCCGAUGAAUGUGCUUGCUCUGCUGGAGGAACCGCGCUCAGGUUACAGUCAUCCCAAUAUGGUUCUGAAGGUGCGUGGUUCAGGUCACUUAGGACUUGACCAGAUACCGGGUUUCUUUUACAAGCCGUUUCUGACGGUGGCCUGUUUCAACUACUGGCAGAGCUCAUGUAAAACAGACUUUUAAAAAAAUUUGGGGGGCUUUUAGUAUUUUUUUCUUAUUCCUAUAUUCUGAGGAUAUUUUAUAGUAGUCCCACAUAUGGAAUUAGAUAAUCUCUUUUUUGUUUGAUUAACAGUUUUAUCAAGUAUAAUGUACAUACCAUAACGUUCACCCAUUUUAAUGGAUUCAAUGAUUUUUAGCAUAUUUACAGAGUGGUGCAACCAUCAGCAUAAUAGAAUUAAGGAAUCGUGAUUUUUUUUUUCUGGUAAUUGCUUUUACAGUUCUCAAAGUUUGCACAAGCGGAUAUUUUAGAGGUACAGUGUAAUAUAAGAGCUUCUGAAAAUGUCCACUUAAGUUGUUUUAUACCUGAGCAAGUGAAAUUAAGAAGGGAAUUGAAGCAAAUAUUCCUGGUAAGUUGUAGGGAGUGAAACUUUUGUGUCUUGUAAUACCAAGUAGAUAUUGACCAUUUCAACUGGUUUUUAUGCUGAGGAAAUGCAUAAACCCCAUUUUACAGAUGAUGAAAUCGACUUUGAAGGAUAAGUUGCCUACAGCUGCAUACCUGUGCCUGGGCUAGGCCCCAAACCCAGAUGCUUUAUCUCUCAAUUUGUUACCCUUGCUACCUCAACAGCUUGGUUUUCAACCAUGGUACUGAUGAGUGUGAACAGUACAAGCCAUUCAUUUACUGAGCAAAUAAUUAUUGAGUGCCACUCUGUGCCAAGAACACUGCUAUAGGUGCUAGAGAUAUUAUUGAAUCAGAUACCGUAGUGAACUGUUCCUGCCCUCAGCUCAUCUUCUGGUGGGGAGGACAAUGAUCAAGUAAAGAAAUAUAUAGUUUUAGAGAUUCAUCUAUUUUUUUAAUAGGUAAAUUAAAAGGGCAAGGAAUGGCAGUGGGAGGCAGAAUCUGAUGAGAAAAAUCUGAAUGAAGAGAGGAAGUUAGGAUAUAAGAAAGAAAGCAAGGGUUUGAUUUGAGCAAGCGCAAAAAUAGAGUUGUGAUUUACUGAAUUGAAAUAAGGUGAUACUGGAAGGACCAGGUUUUGGGGGUACAAUCAUAAGUUUGGCUUUAAAUGUUUUUAAAUACCUUGCCUCUUAGACAUCCAAGUGGAGAUAUGGCAUUUAAAUUCAUGAGAUUGGAUGAGAUCCCACCAAAGGAACAGGUUUAGGUGGAGACAACCAAAUACCGAUGCCUAGGACACUGCAGUGUUUAGAAUUCAAGGAGAUGAGAAGGAAACAGGAGGGAAGAUUGAAAAGAAGAGUCCAGUGUGUUAUGAGGAAAACCCCAAGAGCAUGCUGCCUUACAAGACAGAUGGAGUCCUCCUCUGUCACCCAGGCUGGAACGCAGUGGUAUGAUCUCGGCUAACUGCAACCUCAGCCUGCCAGGUUCAAGCAAUUCUUCUGCCUCAGCCUCCCGAGUAGCUGGGAUUACAGGUGCCUGCUGCCAUGAUGAUUAAUUUUAUGUGUUAACUUAGCUGGGCUGUGUUGCCCAGAUAGUUGGUUAAACAUUAUUCUGGAUGUUUCUGUGAAGAUGUUUUUGGAUGAGGUUAACAUUUAGAUCGGUGGACUUUGAGUAAAGCAGAUUACCUUUCAUAAUUUGGGUGGGGCUCAUCCAAUCAGUUGAACAUCUGAAGAGACCAAAAGACUGACCUUCUGCAAGCAAAGAAAAAUUCUGCCAACAGACAGCCAUUGGACUUGAACUUCAACAUUGACUCUUCAGUCUAUUGGCCCACCCUGCAAAUUUUGGACUUGCCAGUAAGUGUCUGAAAUCUAGUGAGGCAAUUUCUUUCUUUUUUUUUUUUUUGAGAUGGAGUUUCGCUCUUGUUGUCCAGGCUGGAGUGCAGUGGUGCGAUCUCAGCUCACCGUAACCUCUGCCUCCCAGGUUCAAGUGAUUCUUCUGCCUCAGCCUCCUGAGUAGCUGGGAUUACAGGCAUGUGCCACCACGCCUGGCUACUUUUGUAUUUUUAGUAGAGAUGGGGUUUCUCCAUAUUGGUCAGGCUGGUCUCAAAUUCCCAAACUCAGGUGAUCCACCCGCCUUGGCCUCCCAAAGUGCUGGGAUUACAGGUGUGAGCCACAGUGCCCAGCCUAAUUUCUUUCUUUCUUUCUUUCUUUUUUUGAGACAGAGUUUUGCUCUUUUUGACCAGAAAGGAGUGCAAUGUGGCAGGAUGUUGGCUCACUGCAACCUCCACCUCCUGGCCUCUCUAGUAGCUGGGAUUACAGGCGCCUGCCACCACGCCCAGCUAAUUUUUGUAUUUUUAGUAGAGAUGGGGUUUCACCAUGUUGGCCAGGCUGGUCUCAAACUCCUGAAAUUACGUGAUCUGCCCGCCUUGGCCUCCCAAAGUGCUGGGAUUACAGGCGUGAGCCACCAUGCCUAGCCGGGUAGUUUAUCUUGACUUGACUUCAGGCUCACCAAUCCUUUUGGCUGCAAUUCUACGAUAGAAAAGGACAUAAAAAACUUUAAAUUAGCCUUAGAAUAAAGAGAUGUUAUCAUUCCCUAGCAAUUAGUAUUCAAAGCAAGAUCCAAAUAUGUAAUUAGUCAUUUAUGUAUCUAAGCUGUUUGUAUGUAUGAUACAAGUUUUCACAUACAAAUUUCUUCUUUCUUUCUUUCUUUCUUUUUUUUUGAUAGAGGCAGGGUUUCACGACAUUGCCCAGGCUGGUCUUGAGCUCAAGUGAUCCAUCUGCCUUGGCCUCCCAAAGUGCUGAGAUUACAGGCAUGAGCCACAGUGCCUGGCCCAAAUUAUUGUAGUUAUUUCCAAUUCCUUUCCCCCUUCUCACAUCCCAAUUAAAGAAUUCCACUCAGGAAUUGUUGUAGUAGAAGUGCUUUAGUCUGUGUGCUACGGUUUGGAUACUGUUUGUUUGCCAAGUCUCAUGUUGGAAUUUGAUCACUAAUGUUGAAGGUGGAGCCUGGUGGGAAGUGUUUGGGUUGUUAAGGCAGAUCCCUUAUGAAUGGUGUGGUGCCCUUCUAGAGGGAGUAAGUUCGUUCUCACUCUUGGUUCCCACAAGAUCUCGUUGUUGUAAAGAUCCUUGUACUUACCCCUCCUCUCUCUCUUGCCUUCUCUUUCACCAUGUGAUCUACACACACAGUAUCAUAAGGCAUCUUUCUGAUCCUUUAGUGUUCACUCUCCAGUACCUUUAAUAUUUGCCUUCAAAUUUCUCAAAUUUCUUUAUUUACUUCCAUUUUUCUCCUACAAUAAUUGUAGGCGUACUUAAAGUAGAAUUACAAUAUAAAUAAUAUUUUA